GUUUAAGGUUAUUUUGUGAUUGUAACUGAUCUGAUGACGUUUUUCAGUAACUACGGGUUCUUGGUGUUUCAGGUUAUUUUUGUGAUUAUAACCGAUCUGUGUGCUAGUUUCAGUAACUACGGGUUCUUGGUGUUUAAGGUUAUUUUUGUGAUUGUAACUGAUCUGAUGACGUUUUUCAGUAACACGGGUUUCUUGGUGUUUCAGGUUAU
rnacentral:lncRNA from 1 species